ACUCCUACGGGAGGCAGCAGUGGGGAAUAUUGGACAAUGGGGGCAACCCUGAUCCAGCGACGCCGCGUGAAUGAAGAAGGUCUUAGGAUUGUAAAGUUCUUUUGUUGGGGAAGAUAAUGACGUUGCCCAACGAAUAAGCCCCGGCUAACUUCGUGCCAGCAGCCGCGGUAAU
rnacentral:rRNA from 1 species